rnacentral:rRNA from 1 species
UACGCUUAGCAGUGGAUCACUCGGCUCGUGAUCGAUGAAGAAGGCAGCUAGCUGUGAGAUGUGAAUUGCAGGACACAUUGAUCAUUGACAUUUGGAAUUCACCUUGCAGCCCCGGGUUCCUCUCAGGGCUAUGUCUGUCUGAGGGUCG